UACGAAGGGGGCUAGCGUUGUUCGGAAUUACUGGGCGUAAAGGGCGCGUAGGCGGUCCUGAUCGUCGGAUGUGAAAGGCCUGGGCUCAACCUGGGAACUGCAUCCGAUACGGCAGGACUGGAGUGUGGGAGAGGUUGGUGGAAUUCCCAGUGUAGAGGUGAAAUUCGUAGAUAUUGGGAAGAACACCGGUGGCGAAGGCGGCCAACUGGACCACAACUGACGCUGAGGCGCGAAAGCGUGGGGAGCAAACAGG
rnacentral:rRNA from 1 species